rnacentral:lncRNA from 1 species
UUAUAUGGUCGCGCUACAGCAUGGUAAUCACGCCGGUAAGAUUGGAAUUUGAUGAAAUCUGCCAUAAACUGAGAUAAAAGAAGGAUGGUGUGUUAGCUAUGACAGUCUCAUUUUAUGCUCAUUUGAAGUAAUAAUGUAUCUUGUAAACAUGGCAGAUGUUGGUUAUACCAUUAGCUUAUUCCUUUUUUAUUGUUCAAUAUUGGCUUUCAUGCAAUACAAUCUUGGUUAACUCUGGUUGUUUACUGAUCUUAAUCAUAAUAGUUUAGCUCCAAGUUAUUUAAAUGGGUGAUUUAUUGUCCUCUUGGAGAAAGCUUUUGUUGGUUUUAAUUCUUGUUAAACUUUGAUCUGAAUUGCAGAAAAAUUGGAAUCUAUUUAGUGUAAACGUUGCAAUGGCCGCGACAGGCCUCUACCAACUCUCACGCAAAUUAAAGUAAGUUCUAUUCAAAUUACUGUCAUCCGUUUCCAUGGAACUCAUGGCUUUAUGGUUCAAAGUACUGGCAUAGGAAGGUUAGAAUCUCUUUCUAUAUUUUUUUCCCUUGUUCCAUCAAAUGUGUAAGAAAAUGGGGGGGUGCCUCGCUUCUUCCUAGAAUCCAUCCAUUCCAAUACCAGUAAGAUUUGAAUCCAAGAUCUCCUCAUGGAAAUGUUAAGCUCUAACUGACACCCAAUCCAAUAUUCUUGCUUAUCUAUUGUGCUAUUGCUUAUAUAGAUGAUAUCCCCAUUAGAUACCUCUAAUUAAAUGUUUCCACAUUUCUAGGCAUGAUUACUUUUCUGAGGCAGAAGCUGCUGCUGCAAAGGAAUGAAGAUGAAAAUCUGCUAAAGUUCCUCUGGUUUCCUUCAGUGCAGAAGCCGGUUUGCCUUCUCGCCUUGCAAUUAGUUCAACAUUUUCAAUCUAUGAUUUAAGUUUGUAUCUCUCUGGAGCUUUCUACACUUUGGUAUUCUAUGAUGUAGAAAUUGUAGGCGGAUGUUGACUGUUGUGCUUGAAAGGCCAGAACAUUAUGAACAGGAAAAGUUAUUAAUUGACCAAAUAAAAUAUUUUUCAAAUCUCUUUUUGUUCUGUCAUGUUCAUUCUGUAGUCUUUGAGUGAAUAAUUUAUUUCAUUUCGCAAACAAGCAAUAUUGGCCAGCACAAUAUUGUAGACUUGUUAUUAAUUAAUUGUUAAGUUAUUUUUCUUGUUAAUGGAACAUUUUUUUUUCAAUAUAACUCACGAUAUGUGUGUAUGUGUUUUUUUCGUUUGGCUUAAUUAUAAAUUUAUUGUGUGAAUUUUAGAAAACUUUCUAGUCUCGAAAAAAAAACAUUUGCAAUUAAGUGAUUUAUUGUGUGAAUUUUAGAAAACUUUCUAGUCUCGAAAAAAAAACAUUUGCAAUUAAGUGACGUAACAGAUAAACUUAUUAAAAGCCACUAACUAGAAGAACCUCUAUACAAAUGUAACAAAUAGAAUAACCUAACAUAGCAAACGCCCAAACAAACUAAGUCAACAAAUAAAUCAGAUUAAAAUUGGAAAAAAAAAUAAGAAGAAGAACAAAGUACAGGUAGUCCGAUAUAUAAGACUGCACUGAUAUUACUGGUCUGAAGAUAAUAUAAAUUGAAAGAAGAAGAGAUUACCAAGAGAGAAAAGAGGGAGUGGAUCUAAGAAAGGAAUGACUUUGUUUUUGUCGUUUGGCGCUCUUUCGGCAUCGAAGGGAAGCCAAAUGGCUUAGGACAUUCCAACAUACUUUAUGAAAUCUCCCUAGUCAUCAUUGUCGUUGCUUGAAGCCGAAUCUCGGCCAUUGACAAAAGUGAUAUUGGAAUGGACUGUCGGAUUCGAUGGCGCGACCCAAAACUGAUUGCAAAGAUUGGUAUAAGAGGAAGGGCGAGGAUGUCCCUGACUCAGCUAGUGCAAUAAAACUCGCCAGCGGAGGCGGUGGUGGCCGGAGUCACGAACUGCCCUCCUCUUACUUGUCCUUUCGCGCAAUAGAGGGUCAAAGGAAGAAUCACUUUUGGGUCACGAAAAGUGACCAAAGGUGAUGGUCGCUUAUUGCUUCGCCGGUGAUGGUGGCGCUAGUAACCGGGACCAAGCUGGGGUUCAUGGAGAAAGAAGAACGAAGAGGAUUGUAGAUGAUUUUUUGUUCGGUUCGUAUUAAUUAAGCAAUAUCAGUUUGAUGUACUUCACUGCUGGGCAUGUCAAAUCCGACGUAUCAAUCUAUUUGACUAACGGCAAUUUUAACAAUUAGUAUGUCCCACGUGUCCUGCUCAUUUUUUCGGUAAACCACG